AGCCCCGGCAGAAACUAUUCUACUCUUUAAAAUUUGCAAUUUUAUAUGCCGUACAUCACGGGACU
rnacentral:tRNA from 1 species